CGGUAACGGAGCUUCCGGCCGCCAUUUUGUUCUGCGCGCGUUUUCUGUGGGCGGGCCCGGGGCGCCUUCCCGUCAGUGAGGCGCUGAAGUUAGUGACUGCAACGAAUGUGACCUCUUAAAACUCCUGUACCACAGCAGAGUCAGAUGUAUUAAACAGCCUCUGUUUACGGUGCCUGACUGCCCCCCAGGACGCACGCAAUGAGAUCCAACCGCACCUCUGGUAGGAAACAUCAGUGACACUGUUUGUUUAAAGGUUGGCAGGUUCAGAAAUCAUGGCACACCACACUUGUCAUUAACCAGAGGAGGUGGCCAGCAUCGUGUAAAGAUGGAUGAGAGCUGGGAAACGUGUGCUACAUUCCAUGACUGUUUCUAGUAAAAGCUGCUUUAGAAAAACCGGGAAAUUGAUUACUCGGACUUCACCUUUUCACCUGUUAAAGCCACCAUGUCCAGAGGUCCAUACAUAAAGCGCCCAACCAGUACCUGAGGACCAUCUUCUGCUGCAAUGACGUCAUUAGCCCGGUGAUUAGCAGUCACAUUCUGAAACAAGAGCAGACAGUGGGAAGGGUGGUGUUGGCUUCUGUAAUGAGGCUCCUGUCUCCGUUUCUAUGAAUGGUGGCACAGGAACACAGUCCUGGACAGCGCGCCUGAGGUACGUCACAGCACACCUCAGAGCACCUAACGACACUGCGCUCCUGUUCCAGCCGGAGCCAGGAGGCCAGGGAGAGUGCUCGAGAUGACCAAGCAAGAGAGAACGUAAAAGGGAAUGCCAAUUAUCUUCAAGUGGUGCCACAAAUUCACACAAUUAUAUGCAAGACAGAUGCAUCUUAAUUGACAUUUCUAACUGAAGUGGCAUCUGAAGAAGAUAAUAUUUUUUUCAUGAGUUACAGAUUCAUCUAGCAUACAAGAGAAUAGAACCACCUCUUUGCUUAACUGAAACCCAAGGCCCCUCUGUUACUUAAAGUAAGAAAUAUACUUUCUCCCAACAUGUGGAGAUAAAGCAAGAAUAAAUAGAUCCUAUUCCCUAACUGUUAAUUUGUUUGCCUCUGGAUUAGUUUAGCAGUUUUCAGCUCUUUAGUAAUAUUAAGUCAUGUAAACUCAUGCUUUGGGAGAUCAAACUCCAUUUAAAUUGCUGCCAAACCCAAGUUCUAGAGCUGCCAUAUAUAUUCAGAUUUAUACUUACUCUCAAUUUGACAUGUGUCCUUUUGCGCAGCCAUUUUUCUCGUGGAUUGGAUGGACUUAGUGUUGCUGGAUCCAGGUUGUCAUUUUCCUUGAAAUUCACAUUUUCAUACCUCAUCACCUGAAAUUAUAUUCAUAUUUUAAAUAAACAGUGUGUGUCCUGGGUAGUCCUGGUACUUGCCAAAGAAAGGUCAAGUACACUGCUGCGCCAGCUGAGUGACACUGCAGAGCCAAAAGCACAAUGGCAGUAAAAAGGUACAGGCUAUACGUUCAUGUUAAUUGUACAGACUCUGUUGGCCAACACUCAGUCUCAAAUACUUAUUGAAUGGCUUUUCUAUUCACAACAGAGCUUGAACAUUCUUCCAGAGAAGAUGGUGAAACAUUAGGGUGGUAUCAAGUGACAGCCACAUUGUCUACUCACAGUCUGUAAAGUCAGUAAAGGAGCUUAAGGCGGUUAGCCAUCUAACUGAACUGAAGAUUAAAAGACUGAUAGCCUCGGAAGAUGCAAUUAACAAUCACAAGGUUAUUCAUUGCAGAGUAAAGAAACUGAAGAGAUAAAUGACCUGUCUUAAAAUGAAGGCCACAACGUCUGUCGAUUCCCAGUAGCUGGCAUGGAAGAGAUGUGGCAGGGCCACAGUUGGAAAGGCUGUCAGCACAUCUGGACAAUACAAGGCAUAAUCUAUCCGUUUUGUUCCCCACCACUUUGCAGUAACUACAGAAAAACCCCAAACAAAAUAGCAUCACAUUUCUGUAAGGUAUGUUCUCAAUAAAUCUCUUGCUGCCUUUAUGUAUAAGGUGGAUAAUUGAACUAAGACUUCUGCUCUUUUGAUCUUGACAUUUAGAAACUGUUAAAGGUAUCUAUCAAACACAAAAGUACUGUUUUCACUGACUGCGUCAUUACUUAAAUGUCUGCAGUCUAAACAGUUCUACUGAGUCCAACUUUUGGGAAGCAGAAGUCACGUCACCUUGAUUCCCAUUGUUUUCUGAUCCACAGGAAACGUACCAUGAAAGACUACUACUUUUGUGAUCAUGUUAUAGAGUAAGAAUUGCAAAUGCUUCUCAAAUAGUGAACAGAAUAUUGAUACAUGACUACAGUCCAUAACAGGACACUAUAGUAACUUAAAGCACUUUUAAUGAUGGACAACAAAUCUUAUCUAUAUUUCUUAAUGCUGGAACACGUUUCUAAACCCCUGUUAGUAUGAAACCCUUAAUGACUAUGAGUCACACCAUAAAAUAAAACUGUGACUUCACUUGUAUUACUUUAUCUACUUAAUUACUAACAGAAGAGGAAGCUAAAUUGUGUUAUUUAAAAUAGCAGAAACUUAGGCUGUUCUCAUUCUCCCCAAAUUUCCAAGCAGGUAGUUUUCCUUUUCACAAUAAACUUUUGCACAGAAAGGACGCGGAGGGCAGACGGCGCACGACUUCACUCACUGCUGCUGAGGUAUGCUGAUGGCAAGCUUUCUGCUGACCCUGAGUUUUCACUGUUCGUGCUGGCCAAGCUCAGCUUUCUUGUUUUUCCUUGUGGUCGAUCAGAUGCAUUUGGAGACCCAGGACUCUCCUGAGAGAAAGGUAUGUUCAAAGAGCUGUUCUCAAGGAACAGAGCACUGUGGUUGUGGAUAGCAUCACCUGCAAGUUACAGAAACAAACAAACCAAAUUUAAAAAGCCACAGUGGGACGAAUAACAUGUUUCACAAAGCUCAUACACAAGAACAGUUUCUCCUUGGUAAUCUUCUUUGGUUCCGCACUUCCUAAAUACGUCUGUGCCAUUCUAUCCCAGAUUGUUUUUAACAUCUUAGCACACUGGUAUUUCAAAACCUCUGGAGCUGUGUAAUGAGAGAAUGCUUAGAAGAACAACAGGUGAGGAGAGCAACGAAAACAGGCACCGUACCGAGGUGGUGAGAUCUGCCGUCCCCCAGCGGGUAUCUCUGGUACCGCGGGACGCUGAACGGAGGCAGGAGAUGGAACCUUCUCUCCAGCAAUGGUUCAAGUCUGCAGGCAGAGGGGUCGGCAGAGUGAAAGAAACUGUACACCUGGCUGCAGGCUGGGCGGACCUGGCACACUUGAAUGAGAAUGAGACGGAGAGUUCAGGAUUGUUCUUUUAUAACUUUCAAAUAGUCUACACAGAAACAGGGUUAAUAUGGUCUUCUGCAAACUCCAGACUAGCACACACCUGGCCACAAGAAACUUAACCAAGUUGUUUGCUAUUUCAUAUAUAAAAAACACUUCACUGUAAGUUAGUUUACAGAGACAUCAUAAGCUGAGAUGCAGGCACGUCACAGACACGAAGGCCAGCCAGAGAAACAGGAUGGAAAAAGAAGUUUAAAAAUCUUGUAAUUGUAUUAUUGAACAUUACAGUUAUGAUGUUCAGCACUUCAAAUAUUUAUGAGCAAAGUGGUUUGAUGGGCCUGUUACAUCCAGAUGACUUAAGUGACAACAGGAGCAGGUAGAUGACAGAAAGCACUGCCGUUUCUGAAGUCACCUUAUGGAAGUUAAUGUAUAGGAAUGAGGCUGGUCAUUAAGGUAAUCAAGCAGCCUGUACUCUAACCCCGGAAAGAGCUUACCAUCCAGGCCAGGCAGAACAAUACUCCUCAUGGCCAGCACCAAACCAAGCGGCGAUCCAAAGAGGAAGAAAUCAGACACCUCAAAUUCAAAUCGGCCCAGGUUUACUUCUGAGAGACUGGAAUUCACAGGAGGAAAUUCUGCACCAUCUUUCAACACACUUGAGUGGAUGCUGGUGAAAGAAAAUGCGCUGAUUCAACAGUAACGAAGAGAGCAUCCAGAGGAAAAAAAAAGUUACCAAAGUAGACUUCUUAGAAAGCUCUAGCAUCUGUAUCCAGAUCCAGGCAAUAUGCCUUCGGCUGCAGACAGACAUUGCAGUAUAGUAGCCACUUAUUAUUUUCAGUGCAGCUAUUCAGUAAAUUUACUGCCUCCAAUAUGUAAGAGUUUUCUACAGUUAUUCUACAGAAUACCCACUGGUAAGUGAGACUGAUGUUUAACUCACCUCCCUUUUAGUAGUAUAGAGGUAUCUAAGUUUAUUCUGAAACUUCUGCUACAAAUUCUGAUCUACUCAAGUUGUAUAAGAACAACAGUAUUAAAAAGUUACAGACAAAGUAUGUUACAUAGGUACACAAAAAGCAUUGUUCUAAUCUGUUCCCCGAGCUGUGAACUAGAACUUCUCUGCUUUUCAACUACUUAUUAGAGGUUAAAAUUAAUGAUGUUUAUACACAGCUUUUAAUCUUUUAAGUGAUUUUAACACUUUCAUUUACUUUAUAUGCCAUAUACAUCAAUAAGGUAACGUGCUGAUAGGCUCCAUUCAAUGGCAAGUCUAUUUCUUUUAGUCAGUCAUCAAACACGAGUUACCUAGACAGGAAAGCAUGAUGCUGGGCUAUAGUAUCACAGUCAUAGGUGGAUGAGUCACUCUGUUUCCUAGACAACGGCUGCCUUGGCUUCUCAUCCGCCGUGAUUCCCAAGAUGUCAAUGUUGCUCUUGCUCAGGCGUUUGCUGCCACCCAGACCGGGGUCCUCUGCUAAGAGGGGAUUAUCCUUCAGAGAACAAACAGAGCAAAUGGAAGAUUUGGACAGUGACCAAAAUACGACAGAGCUUAUACGAAAUGCAGGUCUGCAGCUUGCACCAGCAUCCUCCCUGGCACAUUCCUAUUAUCCUCAGACUUUUAUUCCUGCACCCAUUUCAGUAGCCAAUACAAAUGCUGCUUCUCAACACAAAAGCCGUUAGCCUGAACACCCCCGUUCAUGCACAAGAUGUGGGUGCACGAGGCACACAAGAUCUGGUUCUUUCUUACAACUAUGUAAUCCAAUUGUCUGUAAAUCUCCUAAAUCUGUGAACUAUUCGGAGAAUGUAACAGUCACUGCAUCACCAAUCUGGCUUAUUAUAGACUACUUUGAAAUAAAGAGAAGGGAACUAUAUAAACCAAAUUUACUCUAUUUUCACGGUUUAUAAAUAGAAUAUAAAAUGCAACGGUUGAGAGUA